GACGAACGCUGGCGGCGUGCUUAACACAUGCAAGUCGAACGCUGAGGACCUGCUUUUGUUGGUUGCUCGUGUGUCGAACACGUGUGUAUCACGUGAGUAUCCUCUCCUUGACUUUGGGGUAACUUCAUGAAACUGGGUCUCAAACACGAUAUGAGCUCCUGCUGCAUGGUUGGGUUUUGAAAGUUUCGGCGUUUCGGGAUGGACUCGCGGUUCAUCAUCUUGUUGGUGGGGUGGUGGCUUACCAAGGCGUUGACGGGUAGCCGGCCUGCGAGGGUGACAGGCCACAGAGGGAUUGAGGUACGGGCCAGAGUGCUACGGGAGGCAGGGGGGGGGAAUAGUGCGCAAUGGGCGGAAGCAGGAAGCAGGAAUGUCGCGUGGGAGAGGACUGUCGUAAGGUUGUAAAGCGCUUGCGCCUGUGACGAAGCGUGAGUGACGGUAACGGGUAAAGAAGCAACGGCUAACUACGUG
rnacentral:rRNA from 1 species